rnacentral:rRNA from 1 species
GACGAACGCUGGCGGCGUGCUUAACACAUGCAAGUCGAACGGAAAUGCCCUGCUUUUGUGGGGUGCUCGAGUGGCGAACGGGUGAGUAACACGUGAGUAACCUGCCCUUGACUUUGGGAUAACUUCAUGAAACUUGGGCUAAUACCGGGUAGGAGCUCCUGCUGCUUGGUGGGGGUUGGACAGUUUCGGCGGUUGGGGAUGGACUCGCGGCUGUUCAGCUUGUUGGUGGGGUAGUGGCUUACCAAGGCUUUGACGGGUAGCCGGCCUGAGAGGGUGACCGGACAAAUUGGGACGGAGAUAAGGCACAGACUAAUACGGGAGGCAGAAGUGGAGAAGAUAGCAUAAUGGGAGGAAGCAUGAUGCAGCGAAGCCGCGUGCGGGAUAAGGGGAUUCGGGUUGGAAACCGAUAUCGCCUGUGACGAAGCGUGAGUGACGGUAAUGGGUAAAGAAGCACCGGCUAACUACGUG